rnacentral:lncRNA from 10 species
GAUGUUUCUGAUUGGUGGUCCAAACUUUCCUGAGAACCACUGCAUUGAACAAGGAGAUGAUCUGAGACAGGUGAAACCAGUGGAAUGAAUGUUUAAGAAACCUGCAAGCUUGGGAAAAAAGGCCAGCAACUUGGAAAGAUUAAUCAAAAGGAUAUUUGGGAAGCUUAUCACCUCCACCUCUUGUUUGGUUUGUUUGUUUGUUUGUUUGUUUGUUUGUUUGUUUGUUUUUGAGACAGAGUCUCGCUCUCUCGCCCAGGCUUGAGUGCAGUAACAUGAUCUAGGCUCACUGCAGCCUCUGCCUCCCGGGUUCAAGGAUUCUCCUGCCUCAGCCUCCAGAGUAGCUGGGACUACAGGCACAUGCCACUGUGCCAGACUAAUUUUUGUAUUUUUCUUUUCUUUUUUAGUAGAGACAGGGUUUCACCAUGUUGGACAAGCUGGUCUCAAACUCUUGACCUCAGGUGAUCUGCCCGCCUUGGCCUCCCAAAGUGCUAGAAUUACAGGCAUGAGCCACCAAGCCCAGCCUCUCCUCCACCUCGUAAGUGUUUUCAAAGUAAAGCCAGAAUCCUCAACUGCUUCUGCCCCCAUGAAAUCAUUACCCUUCAAUGAGCCAAUUCAAAUGCUGCUUCUUUUGUGAAGCUUUCUGCCACCACCCUUCCCUCCCAGAAUGUUGUACUUUCCCUGAUCUGCUUCAUAACACCUCCUUCCAAGCACACAUAGGAUUUCACGCAUCCUCUAGUAGCUAGGUGGUACAGGUCUGAUUUCCCAUCAGACUGUGAGCUUUUUGAGGGCAUUCAUAAUGACCUUCUUUUCUGUAGUGCCUACAAUUACAGCAGAAAAGCAGCACUCAAAAUGUUUGUUGAAGCUCUCCAGUGAACUGGGGUUCUAAUUAUUGAGUGAAGAACUUGACACUAAGUGGCUGUUGCCUGCAUUAUCCCAACCCAUCUCUGCAGAGAGAUGGGAGCAGCAGAGGGCGCUGUCACUGCAGGUGUAGGGGCAUUUUUCCUCUCCAUGACAUGCCAGAUGGCCCCCCGGGGCCACAGCUCCACCGUAAGAGUCCCCAAUUUUGUUUUGUUUUUUUACAGUGAGGGUGUUCUAGAGGAAAGGGCUCAACGAAUCCAAUUGCAAUAGCUCCAGUUUGUGAUAAAGAUGACAAUUUUUUUUUAUUUGAGACAGAGUCUGGUUCUGUUGCCCAGGCUGGAGUGCAGUGGCACAGUGUUGACUCACUGCCACCUCCACCCCCGGGGAUUCAAGCAAUUAUCGUGUCUCAGCCUCCCGAGUAGCUGGGAUUACAGACCCCAACCUCCAGCUAACUUUUGUAUUUUCACCAUGUUGGCAAGGCUGGUUUUGAACCCCUGAUCUCAAGUCAUCCUCCUGCCUCAGCCUCUCAAAGUGCUGGGAUUACAGGCAUGAGCCACGGUGCCUGGGCUGACAAAUAUUUAUUAUUGAGUUUGUGGAACCCAGAAUGAUCUAGGGCCUCAGUGGCCACUGAACCCUGGGGCACACUUGAACAAAAAUAUGGGCUUCUCAGCCACUAUGCCUUGACAUCCUCUCUAAUCAGAAGUUUGUGUAAUAAGUGCAAAAGACAAUAUUCACAGUGACAAUGAUACUGUGAACUGCCAUAGGGAGAGUAGACAUGACUGUGGUGACAAUGCAGCGGCAGCAGGACCCUGUCCUCUCAUAAGUGGGCAUCCUUUCCCCAUGUGAACACCACAUAGCAGAAACGCCCAUCUUCCAAAGCCCUUUUAUCAUGUUAUGAAUUAUUUACACUUCCAUAUAUUUCAGUUAAAGAGUGGUAAUCAGAUCUGUAUGGAUGCCACUUGGGUCAUUUGUCAUUUCACUUGAAGGCAAAGAAAUGUUUUUAACUGGUAAGUACAACCUUAUCAUAAAAGUCUAUUUUCUGUAAGAAAUACUGAAAAUAUAUUAAAGACCUCCCUUAGUGCCCUUCAGGACACAUAAGAAUCCUAAUAUACCAGGUUGGGAACCAUUGCUAUAGGAUUUGAAAGGAAUAGUAAAUAGUAUUAUCUGAAAGUGAAGAGGAAGAAGAGAUUCUACUUAAAAAUAUUUGUUAAAUGACUGAAAGAAAUAAAUCUAUGAAGUCGUUUAGAACAUGGUCCUUUAGGGAAAGACCUGCCUGCUGUAGAUUCCAUUCACAUUUUAUACGUUUGUAAUGCCUUACAAAGCUAGUCUUUGCACUUAAAGCUACUGCUAACUGAGCAAUAGAAUCACACCUCAUAAGGCUUAAACUGUGUAUUUAAAGGUUUUGAUAGGGGAUCCAGAAAUCUGAGUGAAACCCUGGGUUCUGCAGGUACACAUGGCUCAUGUAUAAGGCAUUUGAAGGGCUUGUGGCCUUGAUGGGGAACACUGUCAACUCUGAUCCUGUUUGUCUGAGGUUACUUGGGGUACAAGAUGAAGACAGAAGGGCGUGCCUCCCUUCUGGAACCAUCACGGCCAGCAGCCGCAUGUUGGGCAGCUGCUGAUACUCAGGGUGCCCAGGCGGGAGAUGGUGAGAGGCCAGCCCUAGCCAAAUUCCUUGCUGCUGCCAGAGGAAGCAGUCUUGCCAUGUGUGUCCACAGGGAUAAGAUUAGCUGCCGAGGUGGAGCUGAUAUCUGAGCGAGGCUCUCGAGGACACAUUCUGGAUAGAUCUCCAUAUGGGAGUUGGAUGACUGCCACCAGCCAGUCUUGGCAGUCCCCAGAAUUCUUCUGAAGUGGACAGUGGAAGAAGUGAAACAUUUGCCUGGCAGCUGGCAUCAAUGCAGUCUCUCUCUGGACAUGCAGAAGAAAAGGUUCAAAAGGAACUGAACCCAAACCAGUCUUUAUUUGAUUUUAGAUGGAAUUAAAACAUUUUUGUGGGUCUCGACAAGUAUUGCCAGCACUGCACCUGCCACCCUGAUAGAGAUGGGGACUUGCUAUACUGCCCAGGCUGGAUAUGAACUCUUUGCCUCAAAGGAUCCUUCCAUCUCAGCCUCUCAAAAUACUGGGACUGCAGGUGUGAGCCACCAUGCCUGGCCUGUAUUUGGACAGUUGUUGCAGCACCAUGCUUAGCCUAUAUUUGGACAGUUUUUGCAGCAAAGAUGGAAUAAUCAUAUCUUCCCUACAGAGUUCCUGUGAGAAUUAUAAGUGAAAGCCCUUUUAAAUGAUCAAGGGUGAGCUGUGUGUGUGUGUGUGUGUGUGUGUGUGUGUGUGUGUGUGUGUGUAUCAUGACCUAGUUGCUACUAAGGCCUUUGUGCGUGUCGGUGUGCUUCUGCAGCAUGUACUCUUGGUUUUUGUUCCUCUUUUCUCUUACCUUCUUGAUUAGGUUUGUUCUCUUAUUAAAUGAUAUAAUACGUGCAAAAUGCCUGACAUAGCACCUAGAAUCGGGGUGUGUGUGUUAACAGGAGUAAUUGCCAGCGCUGUCCCUUCUUUCCCCCCAUAUCUCCAUCUCUUCUCACUGGCUAUCUAUGGUCUGUGGGUGAACCAAGGGACGUUCCUCCUUUGCCAUGAACUUUCAGAGGACUGAUGACUCCUGAGCCUGACUUACAGUCUUUUAAUUCUGGGCGAGUCACAACUUGG